rnacentral:lncRNA from 1 species
CUGGGUAGUGACUUUGUUCAACGACUUGUAGUCGAUACAAAGUCCUAGGGAUCCAUCCUUCAUCCUCCUAACAACACUGGAACACCCCAAGGUGAAGUGCUCAGUCAGAUGGGAACCCUUAACUACCAACUCUUACCACUGAUCCUUAUAACUCCUUUAACUCUGUUGAUACCAUCCUGUGGGGAGGGAUAGAGAUUGGUCCAAUUUCAUGAAUUACUUCUAUUUUAAGCUC